AACGUAGGUACCGAGCGUUAUCCGGAUUUACUGGGCGUAAAGCGCGUUCAGGCGGUUUGGCAAGUCGGGCAUGAAAUCCUUCGGCUCAACCGGGGGAGGUUGUCCGAUACUGUCAGACUGGAGGGCAGUAGAGGGUGGUGGAAUUCCGGGUGUAGUGGUGAAAUGCGUAGAGAUCCGGAAGAACACCAAAGGCGAAGGCAGUGUCCUGGCUAGUACCUGACGCUAAGGAGCGAGAGCUAGGGGAGCGAACAGG
rnacentral:rRNA from 1 species